AGGGAACGCGGGCGGCAGGCCUAACACAUGCAAGUCGAGCGGAUGAAGGGAGCUUGCUCCUGGAUUCAGCGGCGGACGGGUGAGUAAUGCCUAGGAAUCUGCCUGGUAGUGGGGGAUAACGUCCGGAAACGGGCGCUAAUACCGCAUACGUCCUGAGGGAGAAAGUGGGGGAUCUUCGGACCUCACGCUAUCAGAUGAGCCUAGGUCGGAUUAGCUAGUUGGUGGGGUAAAGGCCUACCAAGGCGACGAUCCGUAACUGGUCUGAGAGGAUGAUCAGUCACACUGGAACUGAGACACGGUCCAGACUCCUACGGGAGGCAGCAGUGGGGAAUAUUGGACAAUGGGCGAAAGCCUGAUCCAGCCAUGCCGCGUGUGUGAAGAAGGUCUUCGGAUUGUAAAGCACUUUAAGUUGGGAGGAAGGGCAGUAAGUUAAUACCUUGCUGUUUUGACGUUACCAACAGAAUAAGCACCGGCUAACUUCGUG
rnacentral:rRNA from 1 species